UACGUAGGGGGCAAGCGUUGUCCGGAAUCAUUGGGCGUAAAGCGCGCGUAGGCGGCCCGGUAAGUCCGCUGUAAAAGUCCAGGGCUCAACCCUGGAAAGCCGGUGGAUACUGUCGGGCUAGAGUCCGGAAGAGGCGAGUGGAAUUCCUGGUGUAGCGGUGGAAUGCGCAGAGAUGGGGAGACACUCGUGGCGAAGGCGGCCAGCUAGACCAGUUCUGACACUGAGGCGCGACAGCGUGGGGAGCAAACAGG
rnacentral:rRNA from 1 species